GGGCCGGUAGCUCAGUUGGUAGAGCAGCGGACUUUUAAUCCGCGGGUCACAGGUUCGAACCCUGUCCGGCCUACCA
rnacentral:tRNA from 1 species